UACGUAGGCAGCGAGCGUUGUUCGGAAUUACUGGGCGUAAAGAGUGUGUAGGCGGUGUUCCCAGUCUGUUGUGAAAUCUCCGGGCUUAACUCGGAAAGGUCAACUGAUACUGUGCGACUAGAGUGCAGAAGGGGCAACUGGAAUUCUCGGUGUAGCGGUGAAAUGCGUAGAUAUCGAGAGGAACACCUGCGGCGAAGGCGGGUUGCUGGGCUGACACUGACGCUGAUGCGCGAAAGCCAGGGGAGCGAACGGG
rnacentral:rRNA from 1 species